rnacentral:sRNA from 1 species
UGAAAGUGGUUUUUUCUUGAUCAUUAGGGUGAAUUGGUAUUUGAAAGAAACCACUGUAUCCAUCAAGAAAGCAAUAGUAUGGAUAUUUAGCCAAACGUUCAAGCAUUUGGUCAAUGAAUGGUAAAGGAAAAUGAUCUUUCCUAGAUGCAGCAUUCAACUUCCUAUAAUCUAUGCACAUUCUAUGACCAGUUAUAGUUCUAGUAGGGAUCAGUUCAUCUUUUUCAUUUUUGACAACAGUCAUUCCACCCUUUUUAGGGACGCAAUGCACUGGAGAAACCCAAGUACUAUCAGAGAUAGGGUAGAUGACACCAGCAUCAAGCAGUUUCAAAAUUUCUUUUUUCACUACUUCUUUCAAAUUGGGAUUUAACCUCCUCUGUGGUUCAAUGCUGGAAUAGGAUUCGUUUUCAAGAUGGAUCCUAUGGUUGCAUAAACUAGGUGAAAUUCCCUUAAUGUCGGAUAACGAAUAACCAAUUGCUCUCCUAUACUUUCUAAGCUCAGAUAAUAGCAGGUUCACUUCAUCACUAUUUAACUCAGCAUUAAUGAUCACAGGGUAAGUAGAGUUUGGACCAAGGAAUGUGUACCUUAGACCUUUUGGAAGUGGUUUGAGAUCAACUUUCGGUGCCUUAAGUUCAGACCAGUCAUCUGAAGUUGGAAUGAUCGGCUCCCAAGGUUCGUCGGUAGACAAGGUCGAGUGGUUGAUUGAGUACGUCCUCGAGAGUGCAGGUUGAACUCGAGUUGACCCUUCUUCGCUCAUUACCAUUACCUCUGUUGCUGGUCCAUUCAAUUCCUCAAAGGGUUCUGAUUCUUCCAUCGCUUUAUGGGAGUCUAACAGCUUCUGGUAUCCCAAUGUUUCCAAAUGCAGAAACCCAUCUUCACCACUUUUGGUUAAAGCACUGUUAAGAUGAUCUUCUUCUGCCAGCUCUUCCAGUAACUCAUCAGCUAACUGAUCCAUUUCUUCGAUCCAAAAGAGUUGCCCUUCUAUGGUAGGCUUCUUCAUCGCGUCUUUGACAUCGAAGGUCAUCCUAAAGUCUUUGCCAAGGUUCAGAUCAAUCUUCCCUUUCUUGACAUCAAUCAUAGCUCCUGCAGUGGCUAAGAAAGGUCUCCCUAGAAUCAACGGGUCCUUGGGCUCUUCAUCCAUCUCCAUGACUACAAAGUCAGUUGGUAUCUCCACAGCACCGAUCCUGAUUGGGAGGUUUUCGAGCAAACCAUGAGGAAUUCUUACUGAUCUGUCAGCUAGGAUGAGGGAUAUAUUGCAGGACUUGUAUUGAGUGAACCCCAAUCUUUUGGCGACAGAUAGCGGCAUGAGACUGACUGAUGCUCCUAAAUCGCAUAGGCAUCUGUUGAAAGCCAAUGGACCUAAAGAGCACGGUAGAGUGAACGAACCAGGAUCACUAAGCUUCUUAGGAAUGAUCUUCUUCUGUAUGAUAGCGCUGCAUUCAUGACUCAAUACCACCAUCCCUUGCACUUCUUGAAUUCUCUCCACAAUCAAGUCUUUCAGAAACUUGUGAGAGUCUGGGAUUAGCGCUAGAGCGUCAACAAGAGGUAUCCGUAACUCAACCUCCUUAAUGUUCUUGGCAAACAUAGCUCUAUAUUUGUCUGCCAACGCUUUCUUGUGACGGCCAGGAAAUGGAAGCUGCAGUUUGUAGGGAGGAGGGACAAAGACCUUUUCCUUGUUUUUGACAGCAACUGGUUUUGGAGCAGUUGGUGAUGCUGCUGGGAUGACAGGCCGAGUGGUUGGUCGAGUAAUGCUGUCGAGUGGCGGAUCGAGUGAUUGCUCGAGUGACAGGUCGAGUGCUUGCUCGAGUGACAGGUCGAGUGGUUUGUCAGCUUGAUCUUUCUCGAGACUUAAAUCCUCCCCAUCUUGAUCUUCACUGUCCUCAGUGACCGUCUUUGGUUCCUCCUUAGUUGGAAGUGCUUUUCCACUACGCAGGGUGAUAGCAUGAGCAUAUUCUUUUGGAUUCUGAACUGCUUUGCCUGGUAGUUGGCUUGUCUGUUUUGUAGCUGAAGAAGAUGUAGAAUGUCCCUCUAAGUAACGGACUUUGGUAUUCAGUGUUUCCAUCUUGACAUGGAGAUCAUUGUAGCUACAGUCCAGCUUGUUAUGUAACUCAGAUAUCUUCUUUGCCAUCUCCAUGGAGCCAGAGGCUUGCCCGUGAAGCAGCUGUUGUAGCAUUUGUUUCAUAUCAGCGUCAGGAGCAGCAGAACCUUGGUGUUGCUGAGGUGCAAACCCAGGUGGUUGUUGCUGGUAGUUCCCCUGGAAUUGCUGCUUAGGAAUGAAACCUUGGUUGUAGGGAACAAAAGGUUUGUUCUGACUUUGUUGUUGCUGUGGAGGAUACACCUGAUCGUGAGGGUUAGCAACGUUGGUGCUGCGGUAGGAGAGGUUGGGAUUGUUGGUUUUGAAGUUGUUGUAUCCUUUGUAGCCACCCUGGUUGUUGUUGAUGUAGCUUACUUCUUCCAACUGGUUACCCUCCCCAUCUUGGACUUCAUACUGCUCAUCAUCAACAAGGAAGUGCACAUGCUUAUGCUGGCUAAGAAGAAUCCUGUCCAGCUUGUCAUUCAGCGCUUUGAUCUCCUUCCUGUGUUUGUCAUCAGAGUCAGCUGUUCCUCUGACGGUCCUAUCACAGUCUUCGUUGUAAUUUCCAUCUGAUUGAGCAAGGUUCUCAACCAAUUCCCAGCCUUCUUCAACAUCCUUGUUCUGGAAAUUCCCAUUGCUGGCGGUAUCCAGAAGCAUUCUGAUGCGUGGUAGGACUCCUCUGUAAAGAGUGCUGAGCAGAGAGGCUUUAGUAAAGCCAUGAUGAGGGCAUUGGUUGGUGUAACCCUUGAAACGCUCCCAUGCUUCACAGAGGCUUUCACCAGUCUUCUGUGAGAAACCAGAAAUCUCAUUUCUGAAUCUUGCAGUUCUGGCAUUGGAGAAGAACUUUGACAGAAAAGCCUUCUUACAAUCAUCCCAGGUGGUGAUUGAGUCAUGGGGCAUGGGGCAGAUUCUUCUCCCAGAUGUGUGCUUUGUCUCCCAAGGAGAAUGGAAACAAACGGAGCUUGAAUCCGUCUUCACUGACACCAUUGAUCUUUGUUAGGUUGCAGAGCCUAUCGAAUUCAUCAAGGUGGUCGAGUGGAUCCUCCAUUGGCAAACCAUGGAAUUUGUUCCCCUGAAUCAUCGAGAUGAGACCACUCUUAAUCUCGAAGUUGUUAUUCUGGAUAGCAGGAGGUGCGAUUCCCUUCCUCUGACGGUGAUCACGUGGUGCAUCUCCAGCACCAAUGUUGGCAUGGCCAUUUUGCUGAUUCUGUUCUUCAGCCAUAACGAGUGGUUGCUGAGGUACAGGGUUGACUGUGGUUCUCCUUUUUCUGAUUUCGCGGGCUGUGCGGUUGAUGUUGUCGUUGAAAAGGAGGUUCUGGUUGCCUGUUGAUCGAGUUCGCAUACAGCAGAGGUGUACCUGGAUCAAGAAGACAACAAGAAAAACACACAGUAAGUAACUGAAAAGAAAAUUGAAAAAGAACUUGAUCUAAGCAAGUCUGAAAUCUCAAAUGUAACAAACAAACACCCAAUUGGCAACGGCGCCAAAUUGAUAAUAGGUUUUUAAGAUCAAUUAAUCGUAAAGCACUAUCAUGUCGUUGUAGUACUGAAGGUUGUCAAUCCAAAUGGGUGUGAUGCUAACAAUCAAGAUGUGAUCAGAAGUCACUAAGUCAAGCCAAGCAAUAACAGGUUUUGGUGUGUUCUAGCAGUCCUAAGUGAACAUGCAGAAAACAGAAAAUCAAACAGAAACAGUAGAACACUCGACCAACACAGCUCUUUGCAGAGCACUGAGUGAGGUCGAGUGAAUGGUCGAGUAACAGACAGAAAAUGGAACAGGGUACUCGAUUGCACAGUCUGUUGCCAGACAACUGGGUGGUCGAGUACCAGGUCGAGUAACAGUAAAGAAUUGUAGAAACUAAGCAACAUGUGACAGGAUGCAGUAAACAGCAGUAGAGUAAAUAAUAAAAUCAAUCAGACAAAGAAUUCCUAAGGAUGGGGUAAUUGAGUAGUUUCGUUUCCUCAGUUUACAGGUGAUUGACAUGCUCAAUAAAUUAACCCUAGACAACAAGUUCAUUAACCAAAUCUAAUUGCCACCGCAACAGAGACUCUCAAGCUAACCUAGUCCCAGACUCAAUCACCAUUGACGAGAGCUAACCUAACAAGCAUUAUGAAUCAACAAGUUAAAGCAAAAACGCUCCCUGCAACCAAUACCUUGGUACAGGGUCACGAAUCUCUGGAAUUAGUGGUUCAGACAUUUCAUCGAACACCUUUUGGGCGCGGAAAUGUCUGGGCUCAAAUUCCAGUUGAUCAGAAAGCAAUAGGCAUUAAGAACAACUAAUCCAGAAGGGAUCUAUCAAUCAAUACUCAAUCACCUAGCAUACUGAGAAUUCUACACUACUCUAACCCAUCCUCAGAAACCUAUUCACUACUCAGACAUCAUGACAGAAAGCAUAAACGUUGAACAGGUUGAAGACAUGAUAACAGCAGUAUGAUAACAGAAUGAACAACAGUAAACGAAAAUCAAGAACAGAAACUGAAUACUGAAUACUGAAUAGAUAAAGAGAAAUCCGGAUUACAAAAAGUCUAGAACACAAGGUCUGCGGAAAUAAAAACUAGGGAAAAACUUCUUGUUCUCGAAAAUGAGAAGUACAUGCUACUUAUAGCCAAAUAUCCCGAAACCCUAAUACUCAAAACGACGAAGUAUUUGGACGGGUUAAGCACUGUACUCGACCAACGUGGUCGAGUGAAUAGCUGGAGUCUUCUUUUCUUCCUUGUGCUCGAGUGUCUGGUUGAGUGCAGAAUGAAGAAGGCUCUGAAGCUUGUCAUCGAGUAUGCAGUCGAGUGGUGUGAUGGAGGUACUCGACCUCUAGGUAGAGUGAGGAGGUCGAGUGGUUGUCUGAUGAUGGAGGUGAAGACACUCGUCCUCAUGGUCGAGUGAAGUGAUCGAGUGACUGUCUGGUGAUGAGAUGAUGGCACUCGACCUCGGGGUCGAGUGGUGGUUGAAUUGGUGAUGUCCUCUACUCGACCUGUUGGUCGAGUGGUCUCUUGAGAUCUUGAAGCUCCUACUCGACCUCUGGGUCGAGUGGUUUGUCAUGAUCAGGUCCGCUCCUUCCAGAUAGCUCGUCAACAGCUCCAAAUCACCUAAAAUCAACGCAAAUAUGCAACAUGCAUGCAAAACUAUCCUAAACAUGCAAAGUGAUGACAAAUGAUGUGAAAUGGUAUAAAACAGUGAUGAUAUGAUGCUAAAAUGAUGACAAAUGGAUGCUCAAAACAUGCAAAAUACACACUUAUCAC